ensembl:lncRNA
CAGGCCCCAUCUUAUCUUAAUGACCUUGUAGUACCAUAUCACCCUAUUAGAGCACUUUGCUCUCACACUGCAGGCCUACUUGUUGCCACAUUAAGGCCUCAACACUGAGGAACUGUUUAUGAAUGCAAAUUAAUUUUGAAUAUCCUAUUGCUUUUCAGUUAUUUUUAAUUCACCAUCACCAGCAUAAACUGAAUGAAAUGAUUUGUUGUGUUUAACUAAAUGUAGAGCCAGUGGCGCUCAACUGCAACCUUAGAAUCUGCAACAAUGUGAAGUGCUAUAAAUUUUAUGACCAGGGGUUAUAGAAAUAAUAAAACUGUUUGUUUGUUGGUUUCGUUUUUUUUUUUUGUUUUUUUUUAAAUCAUUAUUGAAUAUUGUGUGAAAAGCCAGGGGGAAUUAAGAAUCAUUUUGGGGCCUGUGUAUGUGUGUUGAGAGUGUGUAUGUGUGUGUAUUUGUAUUUUUUUUUUUCUGAGUGAAAUAGAGGAUGACAGGAUGUCAUCUUCCUGUGUCCGGUCUGUAUGUACUUUCUCUUGGUUCGCCCUUUGGCAACAAUGAAGCAAACUACUGAUUCAUUUUUCAGAAAAAAAAAAGAUCAACGUGUGCCACUACAGGUUUCAGGGAUGGUAUUGGUAAGGCAUUUUCUCUUGAAAAAUGCCUUUCAACAGAAAUGGCUGAUUCAGCUUAGAUUACUCUAUGAUAUUAUAGAGCAAGAUUGCCAUGUUUUGUUGUACUGCUCUCAGUGUGGUCCAACAUUUCCACUGAAAUGGAAGUUUGCCAACAAAUAUGAAACAUAAAUAAAGCAGAACAAAAGCGUGAAAUAUAAGACACACACUGUCUUUUUUUUUUUUUUUUUGCAUAUUUGUCCCACUUACAUGUACAUGUUUCGGAUUAUCAAAAAAUGUUUAAUAUUAAAAAAUGAUAACCUGUGUAAAUACUGGGAGUAAAUAAAAGCUACCCAAACACAUCCAUUAUCCACAAAUGGAGAAAACUUAGAACGUUGGUAAACCUUUCCAAAGUUUAUGUGACUAAAGCUGAACUUUGUGGAAGGUUUGAGUCCUGUUACACUUUUCAUAAAACACAGGAUAAAAAUAAACAUCAUACCAGCAGUCAGAUAUGAUGGUGGUAGUGCUUGGGACUGGGGCUGCUUUGCUGCUUCAGAACCUGGACAACUUGUCAUAAUCCACAAGGAUCAGUUCAUGUCCUGAAG